GGAAAGUGAAAUUCUGGUAUCAGAUAUAAGAUGUCGAAUGUAAUGUCACGACACUAAUAUCUGUUAACACACAAUGGAUAAAGAUACAGAAUGGUAAAGCAAAUAACACAAGCAAUUGUUAACCAGUUCGGUGCAACUCACCUACGUCUGGGGCUACCAAGCCAGGAAGGAAAUUCACUAAAAUAGAAUUAGUUCAAAAGACUCUACGUACACUUCAACAAGUUACAGUCUUUCUCACCGAAUCUCCACCCGUGCAAUUUCUACCUAAGCACUCUUAGAUAUGAG
rnacentral:lncRNA from 1 species